CAAAUUUCUACUGGUACGUCUGUUCCUCCUCUUUCCUCUGAACCUCUGAUGGUUUCCUCUACCCCUUCCUCUAAUCCUCUCCCAACACCACCCAUUUAUACAACCUCUGAAAUCCCACCUUCAACCACCAGAACCUCACAACCUUCACCAAUUUUAAAUAUCGCCCGUACAUUCAUACCUCCUUCUGAACCUGAACAAAU
rnacentral:lncRNA from 1 species